UACGUAGGUGGCAAGCGUUGUCCGGAAUUAUUGGGCGUAAAGCGCGCGCAGGCGGCUUCUUAAGUCUGAUGUGAAAUCUCGGGGCUCAACCCCGAGCGGCCAUUGGAAACUGGGAAGCUUGAGUACAGAAGAGGAGAGUGGAAUUCCACGUGUAGCGGUGAAAUGCGUAGAGUAAUGUGGAGGAACACCAGUGGCGAAGGCGACUCUCUGGUCUGUAACUGACGCUGAGGCGCGAAAGCGUGGGGAGCAAACAGG
rnacentral:rRNA from 1 species